rnacentral:rRNA from 1 species
UGGGGAAUAUUGCACAAUGGGGGAAACCCUGAUGCAGCGACGCCGCGUGAGCGAAGAAGUAUUUCGGUAUGUAAAGCUCUAUCAGCAGGGAAGAAAUAGGACGGUACCUGACUAAGAAGCACCGGCUAAAUACGUGCCAGCAGCCGCGGUAAUACGUAUGGUGCAAGCGUUAUCCGGAUUUACUGGGUGUAAAGGGAGCGUAGACGGUUGUGUAAGUCUGAUGUGAAAGCCCGGGGCUCAACCCCGGGACUGCAUUGGAAACUAUGUAACUAGAGUGUCGGAGAGGUAAGCGGAAUUCCUAGUGUAGCGGUGAAAUGCGUAGAUAUCACGAAGAACUCCGAUUGCGAAGGCAGCUCACUGGAGCGCAACUGACGCUGAAGCUCGAAAGUGCGGGUAUCGA